AGCAGCCGCGGUAAUUCCAGCUCCAAUAGCGUAUAUUAAAGUUGUUGCAGUUAAAAAGCUCGUAGUUGAAUUUUGGGUCUGGCCGGGCGGUCCGCCCUCCGGGUGAGCACUGUUCCGACGCCGGGCCUAUCCUUCUGGUGAGUCGGCAUGUCCUUUGUUGGGUGUGUCGGGGAACCAGGACCAUUACCUUGAAAAAAUUAGAGUGUUCAAAGCAGGCGCAUGCUCGGAUACAUUAGCAUGGAAUAAUGAAAUAGGACGCGUGGGGCUAUUUUGUUGGUUUCUAGAACCGCCGUAAUGAUUAAUAGGGAUAGUUGGGGGCAUUAGUAUUCAAUUGUCAGAGGUGAAAUUCUUGGAUUUAUUGAAGACUAACUUCUGCGAAAGCAUUUGCCAAGGAUGUUUUCAUUAAUCAAGAACGAAAGUUAGGGGAUCGAAGACGAUCAGAUACCGUCGUAGUCUUAACCAUAAACUAUGCCGACUAGGAAUCGGGCGAUGUUAUUCUCAUGACUCGCCCGGCGCCUU
rnacentral:rRNA from 1 species